AUAACCAACUUUUUAGUUUUGCUGUUUAAACUGAUAAAGAUGGCAAAGUAAACGUAAAUGGGAUAAAUUCACGGUCUAAAUCGAGAAACAGCAGAGUCAAACCCAUCAAGAAGUCAGUGUUGCAAACUGAAGCGUUACAGAUAGCCGCUCACGAGUCUGAGAGCACCACUCGCGCG